CCUACGGGUGACAGCAGUGGGGAAUAUUGCACAAUGGGGGAAACCCUGAUGCAGCAACGCCGCGUGAAGGAAGACGGUUUUCGGAUUGUAAACUUCUAUUAUUAGGGAAGAAUAAGUACGGUAGCGAAGGAGCAAGCCACGACUAACUACGUGCCAGCAGCCGCGGUAAUACUUAGGUGGCAAGCGUUUUCCGGAAUUACUGGGUGUAAAGGGAGCGCAGGGGGGAAGCCAAGUCAGCUGUGAAAGCUACGGGCUUAACUUGUAGACUGCAGUUGAACCUGGUUUACUGGAGUGAAGUAGAGGUUGGCGGAAUUCCUAGUGUAGCGGUGAAAUGCGUAGAUAUUAGGAGGAACACCGGUGGCGAAGGCGGCUAACUGGGCUUUAACUGACGCUGAGGCUCGAAAGCGUGGGGAGCAAACAGGAUUAGAUACCCCUGUAGUC
rnacentral:rRNA from 1 species